rnacentral:tRNA from 1 species
GCGCUUGUAGCAAAACUGGAUCAAUGCACUCGACUCUUAAUCGAGAGAUUGCGGGUUCGACUCCCGCCAGGCGCAACA